rnacentral:lncRNA from 10 species
CUGAGAUGCGUUUGGACAAUGAGAAGAAAAUAAAAAUUAAAAAAAACAGCUGAUUCACCAAAUGAAGGGCACAGUCCCAGGCGUGCUGGUGACGUCACUGGGCAGGGAAGGCUGCAGGAAUCUGCAGCAUGGACUGACUGUUCAGGUUCAAGGGGUCUUGACCUGGCUCCUGAAGUUGGGGGGCUCCCACUGCCAGGAGAGUGGCCACGACUGUGGGGAGCAGUGGAGGGAGGUCAGUGCAAGUAGGGAAAGUAGGGAUCUUGCUGCCACAAACAGUGGGGGUGGGGGUGGGGGGGGCAGGAACAGAGGAGGCUGGACUGCAUGAGGUUUAUGGCCUUGGCUCAGGGUGGGGCAGUAGGUGAUAAAGAGCCCAGAGAGAGGAAAAGUGACCCUUUGUGACCUGGGCCCUGGUCUCUGUUGACAUCUUGGGCCUCAGCUGCAGUCUUUGCUUGAGCAGAAGAGUCAUGGAAAUUUCCACCCAGAUUCCUUUCCCAGCACUCAGUCCCCAGCUCCACAUUCUUCUAGGCCCUGCUGGGCUGAGUUCCGCUUGUGGGGGCUGCAGGCUUGAAGAGGCCGAGGACAGCCUCCAGGUCACGGGGACAGCCACAGAAGGCCGGUGGAGUGGACGCAUCAGAAUUUCAGGGUGAGAGGGACCCUUCCUCGGUGGAGUUGACACAGACCUGCCUCUCUCUCAUGUCUGUACUGGGAGUGAGCCUGAGGCCUCCCUGCCAACCGGACUGGAAACUCUGGAAUCCCCUUUGUCCCCUUUGAUCCUCAGAGGAGCGAGGGAGCCCUGUUAACAAACACAUAGUCAUCCGAGAAAAUGUAGGCUGCCUUGGGACAGAGACUACUGAUGGGGUGGUGAUAAGUGGCGACUUUGGAUACAGUGGCCAGAGGGGUCCUGUGCAAGGAGUGCCCUGUGGUCAGGGUGACGAGGAGUCUGCCUUCUGAAGAGCUGUAGAGGAGCAUUCCCAGAAGACGAGCCAAAGACAGCAAAGACCAGGAAUCUGGAAGGGCCGGGGCACUAAGAGACAGGAGGGAGGGGGCCCUCAUUGCAGGCACAGGCAGCUUCAGGCCACUCUUUCACAGCUUUUCCUUUCUCUUGUCCCAUGGCCACCCCCCCACUCCCAAUCCAGGCCCCAUGACCUCUGGCCUGGGCUAUGGCACUGGGCCUCAGUGCCCUCCCCUCUGCUGCCUCUCCCAGCUCUGCCAUCCUGCCCAGAGCAGCCAGACAAUGCCUCCGGAAGCCAGGGCCUCUCCCAGCUCAGAAGCCAUCCUUCUGCCCUAAGAGCCAUGUCCAUGGCCCUCUCCAGGUGUCCACGCCAGCCCAGACCUCACUGCAGUCUUCUCUUGCUUUCCUGCCAACAGCCACACCCAGCACCCACCUGGCCAGUCAUUUCCUCCUCCCCGCACAAGCAUUACCAAUUUGGGGUGUGCAGGUGCAGGGCCUCUGUUUACCUAUUCUGUCUG